GCUCAGAUUGAACGCUGGCGGCAGGCCUAACACAUGCAAGUCGAGCGGUAGAGAGGUGCUUGCACCUCUUGAGAGCGGCGGACGGGUGAGUAAUGCCUAGGAAUCUGCCUGGUAGUGGGGGAUAACGCUCGGAAACGGACGCUAAUACCGCAUACGUCCUACGGGAGAAAGCAGGGGACCUUCGGGCCUUGCGCUAUCAGAUGAGCCUAGGUCGGAUUAGCUAGUUGGUGAGGUAAUGGCUCACCAAGGCGACGAUCCGUAACUGGUCUGAGAGGAUGAUCAGUCACACUGGAACUGAGACACGGUCCAGACUCCUACGGGAGGCAGCAGUGGGGAAUAUUGGACAAUGGGCGAAAGCCUGAUCCAGCCAUGCCGCGUGUGUGAAGAAGGUCUUCGGAUUGUAAAGCACUUUAAGUUGGGAGGAAGGGCAUUAACCUAAUACGUUAGUGUUU
rnacentral:rRNA from 1 species